GGGAGUGUCUGUGUCUUGUGAUGAGGAAGGGAGUGUGUUGUUGACAAUGUAGAAUAUAGUCCUCCCUAUCGUCCUUAUUUUCCUUUAAAACUAGUCACAAUAAAAUCUUGGCUAUUCGUUCUGAAACUUCCAUACGGCUAAGAGGUCUUUAAUCAUGCACCAUCCACACCAUCCACACGGGCCACCUCCAUGUCCUCCCCCAUGUAACCCAUGUGAUCCCCACCACCACCCUGUUCAUUGUCCACCCCAUCAUGGGGGUCCUCCUCAUCACCCCCAUGGACCUCAUCAUGGACACCACCAUCCUCAUGACCACCAGCAUCAUCAUGGCCACCAUGGACCACACAGCCACCAUGGACAUCAUGGCCCUCAUGGACAUCAUGGGAAGCCUUGUUAGCAUAUUAUUUUAUACAUAACUUUUGUAGAAUAAGUAACACUGAGGACCAUGAAGAUGACUUCAGCCCAGUUUAUCCUAAUCUGACUUCUAAAAAUGUCUUCUAUUUGUCUGUGGUCUUUGUAGACAAAAGUUGUUACAGCAAUAAAAGUUUGAAAUAUGUUAUUAAAGGCUUUGCAGUUUGUUACUGAACUAUACAUAUU